CGUAGCACUGGUAUACAAUGUGCUGAAAACCCUAAUGGAAAUGAAUGGCAAGCUUUUUGAUGACCUCACUAGCUCAUACAAAGCUGAAAGACAGAGAGAGAAAAAGAAGGAAUUGGAACGUGAAGAAUUAUGGAAAAAAUUAGAGGAGCUAAAGCUAAAGAAAGUUCUAGAAAACCAGAACAGUACUUACAGCACGGACAGUAUUCUCAGCACUGCAAGUGCUGAAUAAAAAAAAAAAAAAGCCUACCGCCACUGCUGGAUAGGCGGUUUUGUAUACUUUUUUGAAAUAUGUAAAAAUGACAAAACAAACCUCAUCAGUUUAAUUAAAAGGCCAAUUUUUUUUCUGGCAACUGUAAAUGAAAAAAUAUAUGGACUAAACACAGCCCUGUGCUCUAUCAUGGCCACAGCAUAUUGUAACCUUUGUCUAAUCAUUGAUGUGUCACUUCUGAAGUUUCGCAGAAAUGAAUUUUAUCGUCUAUGAUAUGAAUGAGAUAAUUAUGGGAGUGGUAAGAAUUAUGACUUGAAUUCUUCUUUGAUUGUGUUGCACAUAGAUAUGGUAGUCCGCUCUGUAUAUUUUUUCCUUUAUCAUGUGCUUUUUCAUAUUGCUGCAGACCUUAGUUACAUCCUAGGAACAAGAAUACUUCCUAAAAUAAAACUAAGGUAUCAGCCUUAUCCUUCCCUUUGUGUCUCCCAGAAAUAUGAUGGGAGGAAUUACCUGCCCCAAGCCUUCCCUCAUUAAAGAUAUUACUGUACUCUGGAAUUUGAGCAAAACCUUAAAUCUCCAGGCUUUUUAAAGCACAAAAUAUAAAAGCUGGGAAAGUAAACCAAAAUUCUACAGAUUGUUCCUCGUGAAUAUCCCCCUUCAUCUGCAACUCCCCAGAGUGAUGAACAGAUUAGUAGAGGCAGCUCAGGUGAAUACUCACUCAGCUUGCCUCUCAAUUCAUUCCUCCUCUUCCUCUCAAAGGCUGAAGGCAGGGCCUUUCCAGUCCUCACAACCUGCCCUUCCCCCAGUCCCUCCUAACCCAGGGAUGGAAGCUUUGAGUCCCACGGUGUGGUGAUACCGAGCGCUAGUUGUCACUGCCUGGCUUUAUUUAAAGGAAAUGCAGUAGGCUUCCUCUGUAGAGUUCUGAAAAAGUUGACUAUAUAGAGGUCUUGUAUGUUUUUACUUGGUCAAGUAUUUCUCACAUCUUUUGUUAUCAGAGUACCAUUCCAAUCUCUUAACUUGCAGUUGUGUGGAAAACUGUUUUGUAAUGAAAGAUCUUCAUUGGGGGAUUGAGCAGCAUUUAAUAAAGUCUAUGUUUGUAUUUUG